rnacentral:lncRNA from 1 species
GCAGUUCAAGUGUGCAGCUAGGAUUGGAAACCUCUUAACAGGAUGAUUCCUUCCUAACCUGUAACUUCAUUUUUUCAUUCAUCCGCUCAACAUGUGGCUUAUAGGUUACUAGGGCGGGAAGACGCCUGAAGGAAACGCACUGCUGAAGUGGCACUAGACCCACGUGCCACUCCCUCAGCGAAUAUUCACUAAGCACCUGCUGCAUGCCAGGCCCUGGGAAUACAGCAGCACUGACGGCAUUCCCAGACUGCCCUCCAGGAACUUCUACUCUCCACAUCCAGAAAUCUGGAAUCAUCACAAAUUCCUUGCCACCUCCGUUAUCCAGUCUGCCUUUGAGAACUUUCCAUCAUCAUACAGCGAGAGGCCGUGGCCACCACCUCCCAUCUCUAGUCACAGACUCCU